UUAAUUGAAGCAUUCAAAUUAUGCAUUUAACUGUUAAUUAAAUUAAUCGCAUUUUGGCGACUAUUAAA
rnacentral:tRNA from 1 species